UAGGGAAUCUUCCACAAUGGACGAAAGUCUGAUGGAGCAACGCCGCGUGAGUGAAGAAGGUUUUCGGAUCGUAAAACUCUGUUGUAAGGGAAGAACACGUACGAGAGUAACUGCUCGUACCUUGACGGUACCUUAUUAGAAAGCCACGGCUAACUACGUGCCAGCAGCCGCGGUAAUACGUAGGUGGCAAGCGUUGUCCGGAAUUAUUGGGCGUAAAGCGCGCGCAGGCGGUCCUUUAAGUCUGAUGUGAAAGCCCACGGCUCAACCGUGGAGGGUCAUUGGAAACUGGGGGACUUGAGUACAGAAGAGGAAAGCGGAAUUCCAAGUGUAGCGGUGAAAUGCGUAGAGAUUUGGAGGAACACCAGUGGCGAAGGCGGCUUUCUGGUCUGUAACUGACGCUGAGGCGCGAAAGCGUGGGGAGCAAACA
rnacentral:rRNA from 1 species